CUUAAUUUCAUCUCUCCUUGCUAGUUCUGAAAUUGACUUCGCAUCAGCCAACAUUUGUCUGUUUAUUCUUUCUCUUAACACGUAAAUCCUCAGGUUCAGAAUGAUGAUACUAGCUAGUGCUUAUGUGCCAAAAUUUCUUACAUAUUCAUCUUUGGGAGAAAGAUCAAGGCAUAUAGUGGGCUACUUCUGCAAAAGGAGCUCUUUAGAGGUGAUGAUAUAUGUUGGAUGACGAAACAAGGAUAUUGUUCUGGUGCUUGCUUCGACUUGGGUGUUCAGAGAAGUGAAACUUUAACUAAUCUGUUCAGGGAAGCAACAUAUUGCAUUUAAAGUGAAGCUUCCUCUAUGAUAUGGAGAUGCAAUCAUCCAUCUAAAGACAAGAUUGCCAAGAUAAAUCGAUGAUGCAUGGCUCAGAAGUUGAUUACAAGAUCGAGAAGGUGGCUACUACUAGAUAGUUUCAGAUUAUGUUUUGGAAUGUAAUUUUUAGGGUGAAUGUUUCAAACACUAUGUGUUUAGAUGGCUGAGUCGUUCAGUGCAAGGUUGAGAAUCAGACUAUUACUAGAUAGUUUCACAUAUUGUAAUCUGUGUAUCAUGUUCUUUGUAA